rnacentral:rRNA from 1 species
UACGGAGGGUGCGAGCGUUAAUCGGAAUUACUGGGCGUAAAGAGCACGUAGGUGGUUUGGUAAGUCGGAUGUGAAAGCCCCGGGCUUAACCUGGGAAUUGCAUUCGAAACUGCCUCACUAGAGUCUAGCAGAGGGAUGCGGAAUUCCGGGUGUAGCGGUGAAAUGCGUAGAGAUCCGGAGGAACAUCAGUGGCGAAGGCGGCAUCCUGGGCUAAGACUGACACUGAGGUGCGAAAGCGUGGGGAGCAAACAGGAUUAGAUACCCGCGUAGUCC